rnacentral:rRNA from 1 species
AUGCGUCUGCCCAUCUUCGACAAGGAGCAAUUCAGGGUAGGAUGGAUCCGCAUGGGCCUGGAGGACCGGGCUGGGGAGGCCCUGCAGGAUGGGGCCCUGGAGGCUGGGGUCCGGUUCCACCUGGUGGGCCUGGGUUUCCUGGUGGCCCUGGUUCUUGGGGGCCUGGGCUCGGUGGAUUCUUGGGAUCCUGCUUCUAUAUCCUGUGCUGCUGCUGCCUGCUCCAAGAUUGCUGCGGCCCUCUCUUCAGACGACCGGGCCCUGGCGGCCCGCCACCCCUUUUCUGAUAGCCUGCGGAGCUGCUGA